AUUGAACGCUGGCGGCAGGCCUAACACAUGCAAGUCGAGCGGCAGCGGGAAAGUAGCUUGCUACUUUUGCCGGCGAGCGGCGGACGGGUGAGUAAUGCCUUGGAAAUUGCCCAGUCGAGGGGGAUAACAGUUGGAAACGACUGCUAAUACCGCAUACGCCCUACGGGGGAAAGCAGGGGACCUUCGGGCCUUGCGCGAUUGGAUAUGCCCAGGUGGGAUUAGCUAGUUGGUGAGGUAAUGGCUCACCAAGGCGGCGAUCCCUAGCUGGUCUGAGAGGAUGAUCAGCCACACUGGAACUGAGACACGGUCCAGACUCCUACGGGAGGCAGCAGUGGGGAAUAUUGCACAAUGGGGGAAACCCUGAUGCAGCCAUGCCGCGUGUGUGAAGAAGGCCUUCGGGUUGUAAAGCACUUUCAGCGAGGAGGAAAGGUCAGUAGCUAAUAUCUGCUGACUGUGACGUUACUCGCAGAAGAAGCACCGGCUAACUCCGUGCCAGCCGCCGCAGUAAAAC
rnacentral:rRNA from 1 species